rnacentral:tRNA from 1 species
ACGGGUUUAGCUCAGUUGGUAGAGCACUGGUCUCCAAAACCAGGUGUCGGGGGUUCGAGCCCCUCAACCCGUGC